GAUGGGGAAGCCACCUGUGUGGACGCUGUCUGCACCCACCGCCCUGACCCCGUGGGCCUCCAUGCCUCUGUGCUGGGAGCUGAGAGUCUCCACGUGUCUGCUCUUCCUCUCGGUGGCUCCAGGCUCUGCACCCUGGAGUUUAUGCAUGCAGAGAGAACACCAGCUGCAUUUCCGCAGCAUCAGCUGGAACCUCAGCAACCCGGAGCCCACAUCCUCGGAGUACGCCGCCCUGCUGAGGGACACCCAGGACCAGUAACCACACUGGAGUGGACUCCCUGUGUACCUUGCCGCCUUGGCACAGAGACUGGACAGAGUUGCCAUCUAUGAGGAAUUCCUGUGGCUGACCCAGAAUGGUACCCAGCUGCAGAACUUGACCCUGGACAGGAAGAGUGUCCUUGGGGAUGAAUAUUCUGCCAACAGAGAUGACACCUCGACUGAGAAGCCUAGUAAACCUGCAGGAAGCCCCAGCCCAUGGUAGGGGGCGAGUAUCUUGAUGCUGUGCCUCAUCGAAGAGAACCAUGCGCACAGGGUUUUGGAUGAUGAGGAAAGUUGGCCAACCCUUGUCAAGGACGGUUGAGGCACAGUGGGGUCAGCAGGAGCCCUGGGGCGAUGACAGGAGGUGGCUCACCCCAGCACUUGUCUCCCCAGACCACCCCGUCUGGGCCCUCAUCCUCAUCUGCUUGGCGGGAAUCCUGGUGCUCAUC